GACGAACGCUGGCGGCGUGCCUAACGCAUUCAAGUCGAACGGGUCUAAGAUAAAGCUUGCUUUAUCUUAGAUUAGUGGCGGACUGGUGAGUAACACGCGAGCAACUUGCCUCUAGGUGGGGAAUAACGCUCCGAAAGGAACGCUAAUACCGCAUAAUAUAACAGAGUCGCAUGACUUUGUUAUCAAAGAUUUAUCGCCAAGAGAUAGGCUCGUGUCCGAUUAGUUAGUUGGUGAGGUAAUGGCUCACCAAGACCGCGAUCGGUAGCCGGACUGAGAGGUCAAACGGCCACAUUGGGACUGAGAUACGGCCCAGACUCCUACGGGGGGCAGCAGCGGGGAAUAUUGGGCAAUGGGGGAACCCCGACCCAGCAACGCCGCGUGAGGGAUGAAGGUCUUCGGAUUGUAAACUUUUGUCGCGAAGGAAGAUAAUGACGGUACUUCGUGAGGAAGCCACGGCUAACUACGUGCCAGCCGCCGCCGUAACAC
rnacentral:rRNA from 1 species